AUUAUAUAUGUAUAUAUAUAUAAAUUGUUUUAUUCGAAAAUAUGAAGCUGUCAAAGAAAGGGACACAAUGUAUUCAUCUUGAUUCUAGAAGGCACCAUCGAUAUAACAAAAUAAAAAUCAACUUUGAACAAUUAAGUUACUUCCCCCUUGGAAACACUAAGAACAGAUUAAAAUGUCUAGAAACCUAAGCCAACAUGGCUGUAAGUGUUCAGGACAUGUCAUUUCAAAAUGACAGACAUAAUACAUAAUUCAUAUAAAUAGUUUCUAUAAAUACAUUGUAAAUAAAGGCUCAUAAAAAAUAACUUUAUAUGUUAAUAAUAAAGUUUUACAACAUAAUAAAAUUCAAUAUUUUCAAUAGUUGACUACAUAAGAAAAAUAAUAGACGUCCUUUUUUACAAAAAAAAAAAAAAAAAAAAUAUG